rnacentral:rRNA from 1 species
UCAAGAAACUUCCACAAUGGGCGAAAGCCUGAUGGAGCGACGUCGCGUGAUGGACGAAGUGCUUCGGCACGUAAACAUCUUUUAUGUGGGAUGAAAUUACUGACAGUACCACAUGAAUAAGGGGCUCCUAACUCUGUGCCAGCAGGAGCGGUAAUACAGAGGCCCCAAGCGUUAUCCGGAAUCACUGGGCGUAAAGGGUGUCGAGGCGGUUGUAUUAGUCGUUCGUAAAAUCUACGAGCUUAACUUGUAGGCGGCGAACGAAACGGUACGACUUGAGGUUUGGAGAGGUGCGUGGAACUCACGGUGUAGGGGUGAAAUCCGUUGAUAUCGUGGGGAACACCAAAGGCGAAGGCAGCGCACUGGCCAAAAUCUGACGCUCACACACGAAAGCUAGGGUAGCGAAGAGGAUUAGAUACCCUCGUAGUCCCUGAGCGGGCUGGCAAGGCGCAU